GACAAAUCAUUUUCUUCCUCCCUCCCUACCCGAUCCACUUUCCUUUCUCCCUCUCUCUCUCGCAUGCUCUCUGCUAGCCCGAACGGCUGCCCUCCGAUGGUCGCCGCCGUGUAGGCACCGGAUCAAGAGUACCAGACACCGCCGAAACUCCAGCCUCACGAGCCCUUCGUUGCCAUUCUCCGCCGCGAGCAGAAGCCUCCAGGCUCCUACGUCACCGCCGUGGCUUCAAGGCCAAUUUCUGGCCUCCUCUGACAUCGUCUCAGGCGAAGGGUACCAUGGGUGAACUCAGGGUAUCAAGACGAACAAAGCCCAUCCAAGGAUCGGGCUUUUAAGUGAUCGAAGGAGACGGAAUCAGCUCUCCAUUUGCUGCUUGUAGUCUUCUUCUCGAGUUCCAUUCAAAUGAGGCUAGUGGAUCUAUGAAACCAAUUACUUAUGGUUCCAUAUAAUUAAUGAUAGUUGAACAAUCAUGAUUUAGAAGGACUCGAGUUACUGAGGGUGGUAUGAUUCUUUUUGUAGCCAUCAUUGUUGUGCCUGCUCUUAUUAUGACUUUUAUUUGUGAAUGUGUUUUGAUUAUUAGGAAAGAUCUCCUUUUGAAAA